rnacentral:rRNA from 1 species
CAAAUCGGAUCAGGGUUAGUCGGAACCUAAGGCUAAUCCGAACGGAAAUGCCGAUGGCAAACAGGUUAAUAUUCCUGUACUGGUGCAAUCAGUGAAGGGACGACGAAGGAGUGAAAGGUCUGCGUACUGACGGAAAUGUACGUUAAAGCCAGUAGAUUCAGGUGCUGUAGGUAAAUCCGCAGCGCUUACCGAUGGUGACAGUACCGAGAGUCUUCGGACAAUCGGAUAAUGACCCUAAGCAUACUUCCAAGAAAACUCUCUAAACUUAUGAUUGUACUGCCCGUACCGUAAACCGACACAGGUAGUCGAGAAGAAGAUUCUAAGGUGCUCGAGUGAUUCAUGGCUAAGGAACUCGGCAAAUUAACCCUGUAACUUCGGGAAAAAGGGUGCCCUCUUCGGAGGGUCGCAGAGAAAUGGCUCAGGCGACUGUUUAACAAAAACACGUGGCUAUGCUAAAUCGAAAGAUGAUGUAUAUGGCCUGACACCUGCCCGGUGCUGGAAGGUUAAGAGGAGAUGUCAGUCGCAAGACAAAGCAUUGAAUCGAAGCCCCAGUAAACGGCGGCCGUAACGAUAACGGUCCUAAGGUAGCGAAAUUCCUUGUCGGGUAAGUUCCGACCUGCACGAAUGGUGUAACGAUCUGAGCGCUGUCUCAGUCAUGAGCUCGGUGAAAUUGUAGUAGCGGUGAAGAUGCCGCUUACCCGCAACGGGACGGAAAGACCCCGUGCACCUUCACUACAACUUUGCAUUGAUUCUGGAUAAAUGAUGUGUAGGAUAGGUGGGAGACUUUGAAGCGGUGGCGCUAGCCAUCGUGGAGUCAACCUUGAAAUACCACCCUUCAUUUAUUCGGGAUCUAAUCCCGCUCAAGCGGGAGACAUUGCAUGGUGGGUAGUUUGACUGGGGUGGUCGCCUCCAAAAGAGUAACGGAGGCUUUCAAAGGUACCCUCAGCACGCUUGGUAACCGUGCGCGGAGUGCAAUAGCAUAAGGGUGCUUGACUGUGAGACUUACAAGUCGAGCAGGUACGAAAGUAGGAUAUAGUGAUCCGGUGGUUCCGCAUGGAAGGGCCAUCGCUCAAAGGAUAAAAGGUACGCCCGGGAUAACAGGCUGAUCUCCCCCAAGAGCUCACAUCGACGGGGAGGUUUGGCACCUCGAUGUCGGCUCGUCACAUCCUGGGGCUGGAGAAGGUCCCAAGGGUUCGGCUGUUCGCCGAUUAAAGUGGCACGCGAGCUGGGUUCAGAACGUCGUGAGACAGUUCGGUCCCUAUCUGUUGUGGGCGCUGGAAGUUUGAGAGGACCUGACUCUAGUACGAGAGGACCGAGUCGGACGUACCUCUAGUGGACCUGCUGUGGCGCCAGCUGCAUCGCAGGGUAGCUAUGUACGGUUGAGAUAAGCGCUGAAAGCAUCUAAGCACGAAACUCGCCUCAAGAUGAGACUUCCUUUAAGGGUCGUCGGAGACUACGACGUUGAUAGGUUG